UUUUUACCAGAGUACUAUGAAUGCUGUAAAUUUAAAACUCAAAGAACUUGGCGGUGUUUUAGACCACUCAGGGGAACCUGUCUCGUAAUCGACAAUCCACGUUGUACCUGACCUUUUUUUGUUUUCAGUUUGUAUACCGUUGUCGUCAGGUAACUUUUUAGAAUACAGAAGUUGGCUGGAAAAAUAUAUAAUUUAGUACGUCAAAUCAAGGUGCAGCUUAUAGAAAGGGGAGGAUGGGUUACAAUUAUUAAUUUAUAAUUACGAAUGAUUAUGUUAAAGUGUAAUGUUAGAAGGAGGACUUGAAAGUAAAUUGGAUUUAUAAAAAUAAAUUUGAAUAAGGCUCUGAAACGUGU
rnacentral:rRNA from 1 species